CGUACACAAAAAUGCACAUGCUGUGAGCUCGAUGAGUAGGGCGGGACACGUGGUAUCCUGUCUGAAUAUGGGGGGACCAUCCUCCAAGGCUAAAUACUCCUGACUGACCGAUAGUGAACCAGUACCGUGAGGGAAAGGCGAAAAGAACCCCGGCGAGGGGAGUGAAAAAGAACCUGAAACCGUGUACGUACAAGCAGUGGGAGCACGCUUAGGCGUGUGACUGCGUACCUUUUGUAUAAUGGGUCAGCGACUUAUAUUCUGUAGCAAGGUUAACCGAAUAGGGGAGCCGAAGGGAAACCGAGUCUUAACUGGGCGUUAAGUUGCAGGGUAUAGACCCGAAACCCGGUGAUCUAGCCAUGGGCAGGUUGAAGGUUGGGUAACACUAACUGGAGGACCGAACCGACUAAUGUUGAAAAAUUAGCGGAUGACUUGUGGCUGGGGGUGAAAGGCCAAUCAAACCGGGAGAUAGCUGGUUCUCCCCGAAAGCUAUUUAGGUAGCGCCUCGUGAACUCAUCUCCGGGGGUAGAGCACUGUUUCGGCAAGGGGGUCAUCCCGACUUACCAACCCGAUGCAAACUGCGAAUACCGGAGAAUGUUAUCACGGGAGACACACGGCGGGUGCUAACGUCCGUCGUGAAGAGGGAAACAACCCAGACCGCCAGCUAAGGUCCCAAAGUCAUGGUUAAGUGGGAAACGAUGUGGGAAGGCCCAGACAGCCAGGAUGUUGGCUUAGAAGCAGCCAUCAUUUAAAGAAAGCGUAAUAGCUCACUGGUCGAGUCGGCCUGCGCGGAAGAUGUAACGGGGCUAAACCAUGCACCGAAGCUGCGGCAGCGACGCUUAUGCGUUGUUGGGUAGGGGAGCGUUCUGUAAGCCUGUGAAGGUGUGCUGUGAGGCAUGCUGGAGGUAUCAGAAGUGCGAAUGCUGACAUAAGUAACGAUAAAGCGGGUGAAAAGCCCGCUCGCCGGAAGACCAAGGGUUCCUGUCCAACGUUAAUCGGGGCAGGGUGAGUCGACCCCUAAGGCGAGGCCGAAAGGCGUAGUCGAUGGGAAACAGGUUAAUAUUCCUGUACUUGGUGUUACUGCGAAGGGGGGACGGAGAAGGCUAUGUUGGCCGGGCGACGGUUGUCCCGGUUUAAGCGUGUAGGCUGGUUUUCCAGGCAAAUCCGGAAAAUCAAGGCUGAGGCGUGAUGACGAGGCACUACGGUGCUGAAGCAACAAAUGCCCUGCUUCCAGGAAAAGCCUCUAAGCAUCAGGUAACAUCAAAUCGUACCCCAAACCGACACAGGUGGUCAGGUAGAGAAUACCAAGGCGCUUGAGAGAACUCGGGUGAAGGAACUAGGCAAAAUGGUGCCGUAACUUCGGGAGAAGGCACGCUGAUAUGUAGGUGAAGCGACUUGCUCGUGGAGCUGAAAUCAGUCGAAGAUACCAGCUGGCUGCAACUGUUUAUUAAAAACACAGCACUGUGCAAACACGAAAGUGGACGUAUACGGUGUGACGCCUGCCCGGUGCCGGAAGGUUAAUUGAUGGGGUUAGCGGUAACGCGAAGCUCUUGAUCGAAGCCCCGGUAAACGGCGGCCGUAACUAUAACGGUCCUAAGGUAGCGAAAUUCCUUGUCGGGUAAGUUCCGACCUGCACGAAUGGCGUAAUGAUGGCCAGGCUGUCUCCACCCGAGACUCAGUGAAAUUGAACUCGCUGUGAAGAUGCAGUGUACCCGCGGCAAGACGGAAAGACCCCGUGAACCUUUACUAUAGCUUGACACUGAACAUUGAGCCUUGAUGUGUAGGAUAGGUGGGAGGCUUAGAAGUGUGGACGCCAGUCUGCAUGGAGCCGACCUUGAAAUACCACCCUUUAAUGUUUGAUGUUCUAACGUUGACCCGUAAUCCGGGUUGCGGACAGUGUCUGGUGGGUAGUUUGACUGGGGCGGUCUCCUCCUAAAGAGUAACGGAGGAGCACGAAGGUUGGCUAAUCCUGGUCGGACAUCAGGAGGUUAGUGCAAUGGCAUAAGCCAGCUUGACUGCGAGCGUGACGGCGCGAGCAGGUGCGAAAGCAGGUCAUAGUGAUCCGGUGGUUCUGAAUGGAAGGGCCAUCGCUCAACGGAUAAAAGGUACUCCGGGGAUAACAGGCUGAUACCGCCCAAGAGUUCAUAUCGACGGCGGUGUUUGGCACCUCGAUGUCGGCUCAUCACAUCCUGGGGCUGAAGUAGGUCCCAAGGGUAUGGCUGUUCGCCAUUUAAAGUGGUACGCGAGCUGGGUUUAGAACGUCGUGAGACAGUUCGGUCCCUAUCUGCCGUGGGCGCUGGAGAACUGAGGGGGGCUGCUCCUAGUACGAGAGGACCGGAGUGGACGCAUCACUGGUGUUCGGGUUGUCAUGCCAAUGGCACUGCCCGGUAGCUAAAUGCGGAAGAGAUAAGUGCUGAAAGCAUCUAAGCACGAAACUUGCCCCGAGAUGAGUUCUCCCUGACUCCUUGAGAGUCCUGAAGGAACGUUGAAGACGACGACGUUGAUAGGCCGGGUGUGUAAG
rnacentral:rRNA from 1 species